rnacentral:lncRNA from 1 species
CCCCUGCAUUUUACAGCUUGUUUCUAGCAUAAAGCAUUGCGGACUAAAGCGUUGUUAUAGAUCGCUUUAUAAUCCCAUAAUCAUGUCUAUACGAAUGCUGUGAAAUGCUGUGAGAUAUUCCGUGUUCUGAACGAGUACAUAACUGGGCGCCUGGAGACACGGAGUGGAUAGAGGCAUUUGCGAUUUGUUACCGCUAUACUCUCAACUCUGGCGGUCGUGGGUGACGUAGAUAUGGAUCACGUGCGUAAAUUGAUGGGGUCACAUCGGAGCAAAACUACUCAAAUUUGAGGAUUACUUCUCCCCACAAUCUGAUCCACGCCCGGGAAAGCAGUGGAUGAGUAAUCCGUUCACCAGCACUGAAGAGACUUGUCACCGGUUCUUGAGGAUUGGAGAUGUCCUGUGACCAAGGCCUGCGCGCUCGUUUUAAUGAGAUGCGCCUGUCCACAUUCUGGCUGUUCAGCAACUCUGCAAGAUGGGAGAAACUCCCCAAAUACAGGUGUGCCAAAUUUGUAGCAUCAUACAUAAGACUCAAGGCUGUAAUCUCACCCAAAGGUGUUUCAACAAAGUACUGAGUAAAGGGUCUGAAUACUUAUUCGGUUUUUUAUUUUCAAUCAAUUUACAAAAAAAUCUAAAAACCUGUUUUUGCUUUGUCAUUAUGUGAUAUUGUGUGUAGUUUGAUGAGGGAAAAAACAAUGUUAUACAUUUUAGAAUAAGGCUGUAACGUAACAACAUGUGGAAAAAGUCAAGAGGUCUGAAUGCUUUCCAAAGCACUAUAUAUGAUUAAUUUCUUUGACGCAAAGAGUUGCCACGGGACUGCAGGUGAAGUGUUCCGUGUUCUGAACGAGUAGGACUACAUAACGGAACAUGGAUUACGGUGGGACCGUUUGUAUCGAUUUCAAGAAAAAGCUGGGCGCCUGGAGAGACCGAGUGAGUGGACAUUUGCGAUUUCAAAUAUCAGUCAUCUCAUCUGUUUUAAUUGCAAACCAAUUUGAUGUGCGGGCUCUGUCUAAAAUCUGUAUGUGAUUCAAUAUCAUCUGCUAUAUCCUGGAUUCUAUGUGUGACAGUGUCAUUGGAAAGUAGGAUUUCACUGAUCUUUGUAGCAGCAGCUGGGCCUAAAACCUCUCGGAAAGCAUCCACGACUGAGGGCAUGACCAGCUUUUAAACUACAGGGAAAGUAGCCUGGCACCUGUAAAUGUUAUGAGAGAAUUGGAGUGCAGUUGUGAGGAGCCUUUUGAUUUGUACCCACCUCCUAAGGAUAAGGAGUCUCUUCGGCUUUGGCUCAAAGCAUUGAACUUGAAGAAACCACCAA